CACAAUAUAUGGCAACUAACUAAAACCUAAUCUCAGAGCCGCAUUCAGCUGCAGUUUCUCACAUUUAGCAUAUCUCUGAUUAAGAUGAAUCAGAGAAACAUUUGUUGAUACCUCCACAGACGUAUUAGUUUUGCUUGUGGUCCAGUCUGCUAAUGAUGGACAUGGACACUCCUGAAUAUUGGGAGCCAGGGAUUCAUGAUGGACAUAUACACUCCUGAAGUUCCAUCCAUAUUUUGAGUCGUGGGGUGCAUAAUGAAGAAACUAACAACGAAACAGUAGUGUACUUCAGUAGAUUAUAACAUAUUCUUGGAAGUAAAUCAUCACAGUUCGUUUUGUGAAUUUCAGUAUCGGCAUACAAUAUUUUCCAGUAAAAUGCUGCAUGCCAUGAGAUGAAAAUGUGUAUGUCUGUAAAGGGAUUUUAGUUUUGUUCUAAUCUUUAUUGGUGGUGCAGCAGUUACAAGUGAAAUGCAUUUGUUUCUAGGAGUAUAUUAUGCACUCUGUAGUUUAAUAAUAUUGAAAUAAUCCUGGUUUGGCAUCCCCAGGGGCAUUAUUAUUUUGAAUUUUGGUUUAUACACAGAUUGAAAUCAAAUGAUGAAUUUGGAUUUCAUAUUUCUCACGACGGUCGUCUGAGACACCAUUACAGUGUCAAUGGUGAUUCAAUAAUCCAAUGGUUCUGAUGCUUUCAUCUCUGUGUUUAAACUUGCUUCUAAAAAGAGGGAAAUAGUAAAAAAAAAAAAAAAAAUUCUGUUUUAUAAGUUGGUUCUCAUAUUCUUUCGAUCUUUUUCAUUCAUAAUUCUUACUAUUUUAAAGUUGCGCAAGUCUAUUGUAACUAUCAAUCUGUACUGUGAAUGCAUUUCCUCUAACAGGUUAGAGGUGUCAACGUUGCUACCUCAAGUUGGAAUGUUGUGUAGUCGUAAAAUGUUAGAUGAUAUACUUUGCGAUUGUCUUUAUUCUUUAAUAAGGUAAUCAGAGCAGUAUAGGUGCCUUGACUGACUCAUACAUCGGAGAUUGUAAACCUCCGUUAGAUUCAAUUUUGUAGCAUUAUAGGUGAUUCAAAUUGGAAUUAUAUGUAAUUACUUGUGAAUAUAUGAAUCAAUUUUUGAAAAAAAAAAAAAA